rnacentral:rRNA from 1 species
UACGAAGGGGGCUAGCGUUGCUCGGAAUCACUGGGCGUAAAGCGCACGUAGGCGGAUUUCUAAGUCAGGGGUGAAAGCCCAGAGCUCAACUCUGGAACGGCCUUUGAAACUAGAGGACUUGGGUACGGGAGAGGUGAGUGGAAUUCCGAGUGUAGAGGUGAAAUUCGUAGAUAUUCGGAAGAACACCAGUGGCGAAGGCGGCUCACUGGCCCGUUACCGACGCUCAGGCGCGACAGCGUGGGGAGCAAACAGG